rnacentral:lncRNA from 1 species
UUUUUUUUUUUUUUUUUUUUUUUUUUAGCAGCAGCUACUUCAUACCAGUCACUGGAGCAGGGAGUAUACUGGCGAACUGGCAAACAGAAGUAUGGCAAACAGAACUGACAAACAGAAAAUCACAUUCAGAUUGUGGUCUUAAAACACCAUUUGCACUAAAAGAUUCCAGAGUCUCUUAAAGAAACAGCUGAUUCUGAGUUGGGGCAAAAAUGAACAAAAUAAGCCUAGAUCUGAUUGGCUAUGUGCAGGAAAUACUGGGACAGAGGAACACAUGAGUGUGCAAAUAACAAAAUCCAGACUGGGAAAAUCUAUUAUCCUGUGUUCUUCAACAGAUAAAUUGCAAGGAAAAGAAAACAAUGAAUGUAUAAGCUACAGAUUAAAAAGUUUUGAAAAACAUAAAUUAGUUUUUUCAUGGACAAAACUCAACUACAGUGUCUAGGGAUACAGAUUUAAGUGAUAAAAUGGGAGAGAGGUGAAGACUGUAAAAGUCAAGACAAUGGAUACUUUUGGGAAGAGAGUAGUAGUUGAGAGGAGAGUGGUGGUUGGGAGGAGAAUCGUGGUUGACAUUGGGAUGGGGUGCAGGGAAGGGGCUUCUGCACAGCUGGUAAGGUUUCAAUUAUUGGCCUGGGUGUGGCUAUAAGGAUGCUCACUCCAUAAUAGUUCAUUAAGUUCUGCACUUGUUUUGUGUAGCUUUAUGCAUCUUGCUUUAGGAUAAAAAGCAACUUAAGUGGAAGAAACAGCAUGUGUUGAGGGCUGCUGUGUGCUAGAGAGUUUUCUGGGCCCUAUGGCAGUGAGUGAGGCUCAAUCCUGGCCCUGAAGCUUAGAGUUUAGUGGGAGAGAAAGGUAAUUACAGUACCAUGAUCAGGGAUAGACAGGAGCCACAUACAGAAGACUGUCUGGGAGGGAUCACCUAACUGGGCCUGGGGGUAGUGGAAGGCUUGCAUGGAGCAGCAGGGAGAGGACCUGACAAUGUUUAAACACCCACCACACCCCGGCCCAUUCUAAAGAUACUGGGAUGAAAUCAACCCUGUGUUGGCUCUAAAAGGGAACCAGAAUGGGCUUUUUGGGAGGAUGUAGGCAGAUAAAUUGUUCACAGGCCCUUGCUAUGCAUUUUACACAUCUUCACCUCAGUGUCUCAUUACCCAUUACUCAGAUGUGAGGUAACUGUGGCUUGGAAAGAUUAGAAAACAACUGGCUCUGUAUCAACUGGCCAGGAAAUAGAAACGCUGAGUUUUGAAUCAAGUGUGCAUUCUUUUGCCAGAGAAAUAGUGCGUCUAGGGUCCCGGACAGGUACAGGUCGUUAGUCUAUAGGAGUGAGCAGCCCAGAUCAUGAGAUGAGGAGGAUGGCAACAGACAAGAAAAAAAA